CUUAGGCAUUAAAAAAUAUCACACCGAUGCCCUCUCUUUUUAUAGGGAUUCGCAGAGGCAUUUUUGGAACAUCUUUGGAAAAACUUGCAGGAUCCAAGUAAUCCUGCCAUCAUCAGGCAGGCUGCUGGAAAUUAUAUUGGAAGCUUUUUGGCAAGAGCUAAAUUUAUUUCUCUUAUUACUGUAAAACCAUGCCUAGAUCUUUUGGUUAACUGGCUGCACAUAUACCUUAAUAACCAGGAUUCGGGAACAAAGGCAUUCUGCGAUGUUGCUCUCCAUGGACCAUUUUACUCAGCCUGCCAAGCUGUGUUCUACACCUUUGUUUUUAGACACAAGCAGCUUUUGAGCGGAAACCUGAAAGAAGGUUUGCAGUAUCCUCAGAGUCUGAAUUUUGAGCGGAUAGUGAUGAGCCAGCUAAAUCCCCUGAAGAUUUGCCUGCCCUCAGUGGUUAACUUUUUUGCUGCAAUCACAA
rnacentral:lncRNA from 1 species